UGUUGAUGUAUCGAUGGUCGAACUGCAAGUGUCUGCUUUCCCGUUGCCCAUCCUUUUUGUGAGUGGGUGCAUAGCUAUGGUGAGUUGUGUUGGUGUCAUCAGCUGUGGUGAAUCAAGCUGUUUUAUUAAGGUUCGCCAGUUUUCUCGGUUAAAGUGGGGGGAUGCUUAACUCAUUUAAACAAUUUGCAUUUAAAGUUGAAAAUUUUGCAAAUUUUAUCUUGCAAUUUCUCGAUUUCUAGUAAUUAUUUAUUUCAUAUUAUGCACUUUUUAUGCACUUAUACUUCAUUGCAUUGUUUCUACAUAUUUAUUUUUUAGUAAUUAUUUAGUUAUUAGCUUAAAAUAAGCAUGUUAUAUUUUACACAAUUUUCAUUCCAUGCACAAUAACAAAAGUAUUCCGUGUUUACAGAUAUUAAGUGUUUCCAUAAUUACACAUUUAUUAAACGAAUAAGAAUGGAUAUAAAAACUCAAACGCAGAAAACAAAUACGAUCUGAAAUAAAUUUUCCAUUGUAAUAAAAAAAGUUUUAAGGCUUAUAAGUAUGUUUAAUCUAAUAAUUUAAUAAAAGGAUCAUAAUGAUUAUUUGCAAUACAACAAAGGUAAAACAGGGUAAACAUUAGUCCAUUCGCGUCCCACUUCUUUCUGCAUUGGCGGCCUUCGGCCGCACUUCGAAAAAGUCGGAUUUUUUUUUGAGUAAAACCUCUUUUUGCGUUGGCGGCCUUCGGCCGCAAAUCAAAAAAAAUAACCCUGGCCGAUCCAACACCGGGGUGUGUCGGAUUUUUUUUGAGUAAAACUCCUUUUUGCGUUGGCAGCCUUCGGCCGCGCUUCAAAAAAAAUCACCCUGGCCGAUCCAACACCGGGGUGUGUCGGAUUUUUUUAUGUAUUUGGGGUAUAAUCUUAUUUUUUAUUCAUUUUUAUUCGUUUGAUAAAUGUGUAUUUAUGGCAACACUUAUUAUCUGUCAACACGGAUUACUUUUGUUAUUGUGCAUGGAAAGAAAUUUGUGUACAAUAUAAAAUGCUUAUUUUAAGCAAAUAACUAAAUAAUUGCUAAAAAAAUAAAUAUGUAGAAACAAUGUAAUGAAGUAUAAGUGUAUAAAAAGUGCAUAAUAUGAAAUAAAUAAUUACUAGAAAUCGAAAAAUUGCAAGAUAAAAUUUGCAAAAUUUUCAACUUUAAAUGCAAAUAUCUCGAAAACUAUAAGUUUGCGGCAACAAUUAUAUAUUUUCUUAAUCUGGAGCAGCAGCUCUAUCCAACAAUACUACUGAAAUCGUGGGAUGGUAGACUAAAGCCGACCCUUGUUCCGGAGUAAAUCAUUUCAUUUUGAAAUUCCAAGCCAAACUUAGUGUAAAUCAAGUAACAGCUGUCAAAAAUAUAAAAAGUAUUGCCUCAUUGAAAAUAAUUUAUCUUGGUUAGCAUUGCGGUAAGUAAAUUCAAGUUUUGAUUAUACUAUUGUUACGUUUCUGUGUUUUCAUACUUAUAUUAGGAAAAAUAGUAAAAGUAGUGGCAAAAAAAGCGCAAAGAAAUUGUAGUUGAAUUCCUUAGGUAAAUAAUAUUUCAUAAAGAAUGUAUUUGGCUAAGUUGGUAGGACUGCCCUUAAUAACUUUGCCAAACAUGAGCGCGAUCUGUCAACCUGUCUGUCGACUGUUUGUUUACAGCAGCUACUUUAGCUGACACUUAAUCACACGACUUCGGCUGUUGAGUGGUUUAUCCCACUAAUCUUUUAAAUUUAUCAAGAUUUCGCCAUACAAAAAUGACAGUUCCAAUCACUUCACUCCGACGCUGAUUUUGCGCCAUCUACUUGUCAGCAUUGGAAAUCUGUUACAUUAUCACAGCUGAUUUAGACACUACAAAAGGUAAAAAAUGUAAAGAAACAAUUUUUUUUAAAGCAAUGAAUCUAAUUUCACCUGAAAAACGACUUAACAAAUGAACUAAAUGCAUCCACUAUUUCUAUUAUAUGGAAAAUAUUUGAAAAAAGACGGCUUUUAUUUCAAAAUACUAAUGACAAUCUUUUCUUUUGAUAAAUAUUAAGCGAUGUGACUUCAUGAAUGACAAUAACAGCUGUUUUUUGAUCUUGCUAAUGAUAGUGAGAACACUGUUUGGUUAUGAAAUGCUUAAAUGUAAUCUAAUCUUUUAAAUUUUCGGUCUGAACAUGGUAUUAGUCGGUACACCUGAGUAGUGUGUUGUGAUUUUUACAAUGGAUAAAAAUUCCAACAAAGAAUUUGUCUAAAAUUUUUUAUUUAUAACAAAGUUUCUUGUGCGAAAGCAUUGCGAAUAUUGGAAAAAGCUUACGCUAAUGAAUAUAUUAAAAAAGUGAAGGAUAUGGUGCUUGAAAAUCGUCAUGCAAAUGUUAAAGAGAUGGCAAGAGAGUUCGACAUCUCUCGCGAGUCCAUUCAAAUGAUUUAGUGGAUAUUUUGGGUAUGAAAUGCGUUCUAGCUCGACUCGUCCCGAUAAAGCUUAAUUUUGUGACCAAUUUAAACCCGUUUUGAAUGCCAUCGAUCAACCACCGUGUUCACCAUAUUUGUCUCCGUGUGAUUUUUUUUGUUUCCCAACCUGAAUUGCCGCUCCGUUUAAUCCGUUUUCAGUCCAUCGAAGUGAUACAACAAAAUUCGCGUAAGGUCAUUCCAAAAAGUGCUUAUGAAAAGUGUUUCGAGGUCUAGAAAAGUUGACAUAAGAAUAUUGCAUCUGAUUGACUUUUACAUUUCGACAAGAAGCUUAUCUGCUCAAAUGGGUGUAAGCAGACAGUCAUUACAGUCAAUUAUGCACAAAGAUUUGGACUUAUUCCCACAUAAAAUUCAAAUGGCCAACAAACUGAAUGCUGCAGACUUGCCGAUUCGCUUGGAAUUUUGCCAGAAGAUGCUUCAAAUGGUGGAAGAGGAUGGAAACAUGUUGAACUGUCUUUUCAUGUCUGACGAGGCCCAUUUCGAUUUAAACGGCAACAUAAACAAACAAAAUUGUCGAAUAUGGAGUGCUUCCAACCCACAGAUACUCCAUUGCAUCCACUUCGUGUCACAGUGUGGUGUGCAGUUUCAUUACGCUGCAUUGUCGGGCCCUACUUCUUCGAAGAAAACGGGCACACCGUUACGGUUACUGGAGACCGUUACUUGAGCAUGUUGAGAGAGUUUUUCUAUCCAGAAUUACGCCGAAUGAGAAUUUCUUUCAACUCUGUGUAGUUUCAGCAAGAUGGUGCAGCUCCUCACAUAGCCCAACCUGUUAUGACAGAAUUGCGACGAAAAUUUCCCAAUAAGCUGAUAUCCAGAAACUCCACAUUCCGCUGGCCACCCAGGUCGCCUGACCUUACUGCACCUGACUUUUUCUUGAGGGGUUAUUGCAAACAGGAAGUCUACAAAGCAAAACCAACAAAUUUGAAUGAACUAAGGCAAUCCAUUCGAGAAAUAAUUGCGGCUAUUCCUGUCUCAACUCUCCAAGCAGUAAUUAACAACUUUUUGGUAAGAUGCCGCACAUGCAUCAACGAGCAGGGGGGCAUUUAAAUUCCAUUAUUUUUAAAACUAAUUAAGCUAUAUUUAAUAAAAUUGAAUGAGCUUUAACAUGAAUAAAAUAAAAUGAAUUCCAUACACUGAAAAAAAAUUAUUUGAGUUUCUUAAUGUAGCAAAAUUCACCAGCCACCCUGCAUGUAUCUGCCACAUACUUCUGAGAAACAAAAACUUGUUAAUUUUGAUAAUUGAAGGGACAGCUUUUAAUAUACUUACUUUGGAUAAUAAUUGGUUAUUUCCUUUUUUAAGCUUUAAAAAAAUCUAACAUUUGAACUUUUUAGACGAAGAUAGCUAUUGGAAAACUAUGCAUGAAUUAGAUGAAAAUCUUACAGUUAUCUUAUCGAACCAUCCCGGAAAUUAUCAAAAUGUGCCUAAGUGUUUGAAAUGAAGAUCUAAUGCUCUUGAAUAUUUAGACGAAGAACGUUUCCAACAAAUGCUCCGAGUCACAAGUGAUCAUUAUUGAUCAAAGACAGUACACAGUUAAACAACGAUGAAUCUAUUAGGCAAUUUUCGGUAGAUCUACACCUAACUAUAACCGUAUAUCCUUUGGGUUAAUCGAGUACGGCGAUUUGAAAAGUAGCUACACUGUUUGGAGUAGGAGAUGGUGAAACACUUUACAAUAUUACAAAUCGAGUAUUUUCGUAUUUUUUGGAAUUAAAAUCUAGAUAUAUCACUUGGCCAAAUACGAAUGAAAAACAAGAUAUCGUUAACCGUGCGAUUCUGAUACAGUUUCAAGUCUCUAAAUUUAAGAUUUUAAGUUAGAAAAAAUUUUUGUGACUUGAGACGAAUUCGUUAUUCUGUAAGUGACAGUCAUUAAAAAUUUGCGAGUCUCUCAACUGAAAGCGAACAGGUCUGACCAUCUGUCACAUUUCCUUAUUUAGAGAUGUAUGUAAAACCUGAAUCAAAAAAUACUGUCGAUAACAAAUAUUAAAUUAUCUUUAACGCUGUAAAAAAGCUUAAUUACCAAUAAAACUAAAAAUAAAAUGUUGUAUUUCAAAUACGAUAGAGCUAAAAUUUAUGUGAAAUUGAUUUUUUUUUUUUACUUUUACUUGAUUGAGUUUUGUAUAAAACAUAAACACCAACAAUCGAUUACUAUCUGUGAUGAUCUCUUUAAGUGAAUCGUCAAUACAUUCAAAAUGGAAAACAAAGGUAACUAAGCGUUUAAUUAAAUAUUUGCUGUUAUAUUCCUUUACUUGUAUAUAAUUAAUUGUUACAUUUGCAGAAUCAUUGCGGACAACAAAAGAGCAAAUUGAAUGCUCUUUAGCAUUUCUAAGAUCACAAAAAUUAUCCCACGCGACCAAAAAGGUUGGAAGAGCUGUGGAUCGAGCUUUGUCAGCAGCUAAAUGCUUUGAAAGGUCCAUCAUUUCGCCUACGAAAUGGAAGGAGGCAAAUCCUUACAUAUACAAAUAUAUAUAUUUACUAGAGGACCCGCCUACGUUUUACUGUGGCUGAUACAUAGGCUACAUGGCUGAUACAUAAGUAUUAGUUAAAGAAUAAUCGAAUUUUUGAUGAAGCAAAAAAAAUGAAUCAAAAAGCAUUUCGUGUGUUAAGAAAGAAUUGGUUUUUGCGGUAAAAAUACUAUUGAAUUUGGGCUGUGCAUCAGUGAAAUCCAUCGAGUCCAAUUGAUUGUCAGCCUGGUGGACUGCAUAUUAAGAAACGGUUCUCAAGCGUGGAAAGACAAAAAAAUCGACUGGCAAGGUAAUGGCAUCAGUCUUUUGGGAUGCCCGUGGUAUAUUAUUCAUCGAAUGAUAAAUGAGCCAGUUUUAAUUCAUUGCAUUGUGUACUUGAUUUCAGUUCUAUUCUACCAUUCCCAAUAUUUAGCAAUUUUAUUAUUUUUCAGAAAGGAUCAGUUUGAAAUUGUACGCAUGUAUGCAUGUAUACGUCGUUCCCGUUUAAAUAUUGUAUUGCUCUGUGCAAUGCUUCGAAAAUAUUUCUGUAUAUCUCAAAUUUUUUAUCAACACUUCAGUUAUGCCCCUAUUUUUUUAUGCCAGACCUUUUGCAAUUUUAAAUUGCCUGUCAAGAUACCCCCUCCAAUAGUUAGCAGGUAUGAAAAAAAUGUUAUAGCUACCCAUAGAUGUAUUGAAUCACCCAAUUUAUUACUUAAGAACGAACUCUGUCCUCAAUAUAAAAACUUGAUCCACAGAUGUCGCUUUUACUUUGGCAUCGUUUUGUUUAAUGCACGUUUACGCCAAUUUAAGGUUUGAAUAUUGGAUACUGCGAUGGUAGCGCCAUCUAUCGGUCAAACAUUCCAAAAUUAACAAUUGAUUAAAAAUGAAAAAAUAAUUUAAAAAACAUUUUCCAGUGGACCAAAUUGUAAAUCUAUACCAUUCUCGAACCUCCUUGAACAUACACACAAAAUUUCAUCAAAAUCGGUACAUCCGUUUAGGAGCAGUUCAAAUGCAAACACACGGUCAGAAGAUUUAUAUAUAUAAAGAUAUUCAUUAGGAUGCUCCUAAAAAAAUUUGAUUUUUUUUUCAACUUUUACCCCCUUUUUUUAGUGUCCUAUUCAUUUAACAUAUCGCGACAAAAUUAUUAUUCUCAGAAACGUUUUUUUAUUUUUAUUGAAAAAAUUCCAAAUUUCCAAUCACUAUGUUUAAUUGUCUAAUUGAGAUAAUCAAACUUUGUCACGGGAAUUUUUAAAUUUUUAAUAUGUAAUGGUUAUUUUUGAGAAAUAAAAAUUAAUUGGUGAAAUUUAGUUUGAUUGAAAAAGCGAAAAUUCCUAUGUUAAGUAAAAAGGAAACUAAAAAAAAAACGAAGCGACCCUUUAGAGUUAAGCUACAGCGCCUGGCUUGAGGGAGGAUUCUUUUCGUCAAUCACUAAAAUUUGAGGGGGUAAGAGUCGAAAAAAAAUUCAAAUUUUUUUUUGAAGCACCCUAAUAUACAUAUAUUUCAAUUGAAAUAAAUAUCUUGUUUAUUUCACAGUGUUUUAACCAUUGGAAACCCCAGAUUCCGAGUUGGAAGAGCUGGCAAUGGAAGCAUUAGGGAGGACCGUGGUUGAUGGACUGCCUGAUGUCCCAACUAUAGGAGUAGAGGUAUGAUUAAAUAAAAUCUUUGCGUAUAUGUUUAUAUACAAAUUUUUUUUAAGUAAAUAAAAUGGAAUGAUAGUUUCUUUUUACGUUUAGAACGACAUUAUAAUCCAUAUACAGUAGAGGCCCGCUAACCCGGAUCAAUUAAAACCGGCCCCUAUCCGGAAUAUAAAGGAAUCCGGGCCAGCGCGAUAUUUUUUUCCCUAGUAUAGGUUGACAGCUGCAACCAAUUGUCAUCGGCUCGUCUCAUACUAAGCUCAGUUUCUAUAUAGCACUCGAGCUGUGAACACGUGUUAUAACCUCUCUGCGACAACAAAAAGAAAUUCGACACUCCGAAAGUUUUUUUCAACUCUGUGUACAGUUGAUUUUUUUCACAUUUUCCAAUAAAUUCAUCCAGGUAAAUAUGUUUAUAAUAUUAGUUGAGCCUUUAGCCUUCGACACACGGAAUUUACAUUGUGUUCAUUAUUCACCGCCAUUUUGCAAAUAUGAGCGUUUGGGGAAUCUCGGGAAUCUCUUAUUACGGGGAAUGUCGGGCCACAUAGUUUUUUACAUUUGACAUGCUAACUUCAUAUAUUUGACGUGUAUAAGUGAUUUUUCGUGCAGAAUUUCAACAACACAAUAGUUUUUCUCAUUUCCUGAUAGUUUCGUGCUCCGAAAAUUUUUUUUAGUCAUUAUGCCGCGGUACUAUCCCAAACAAGAGAAAAUUGUUGAUUUCGACAACAUUCUGGAGGCGAUCAAGUCGGUGAAAAUACAUCACAACAGCGUUCGACAAUCUGCGAGGGCACACAAAAUUCCGAGGACCAACCUGAUGCGUUAUAUUGCAGCAUUUGAUGGAAAACGAAAAUAUUUUUAAAUGUUGCUUUCUCCAAUAAAAAUGCAAAUUGAGACCUUACCUCAAACAAUCUCAAAUAGUGACUAGAGACUGCUUACAGAAUCGCGUUAUAAAACAACAUACAAUAAGAUGCCGCAUUACAUAAGGUAUAUUGAUGGUACUGAACUGAAACUUGAAGAAGCACCAGUUGUUAACCAUUCAGCUAUUUUACAAAAAGCCGAAUCUAUUCCAUAAAGGCACAAGCUGUAUGCGAUUAUCUGUUAAGGAUUCGUCACAGGGAUAAUGGGAUGCCCAACUUAUUCCAGUGUGAGAGCGCCUCAAAAUAAGCGUUUUUUAUAACAUUUUCCAUUAUGACCAGAUCGAACAAAAUAAGAAUUUUUGGGCAUUUUAAAUUAAAAUACCCAACAUUAUUUACGAUUGCAAAUUAUUAUAUAUUGGACUUUUAAUAUAUGGCGAAACUACUUAAUUCCUUUUUUAUGAUUUUAUGGUAUUUUAAAACAACUGACUUUCGAUCUUUCAAUACUUAAUAAGGUGAAUUAAGCCUGUUAGUUCUCAAAUAAUAAAUGUUUUUAAUCAAUUGUAAUAGAAAAUUAAUUCUAUUAUGCUUCAAAUUACAAAACGUUUUAUGAAAUAUAUUUCAAUUUCGCAUUUUCUUUGAUUUUCAUUGUUUUAAAUUUUUAUUAGCCAUCUUGAACGGCGGCAACAAAUCCCUCCGUUUUCAUAUUUUUUGGUAAGAUUUCAGUCUGGCCAUCGCUCGUUUCCAAUUGCUAAACGUCAAAACCUCCUCAAUCCAGUCAACUGUCAAAGUUGAGGUGGUUUUGACGUUUAGCAAUUGUUCUCUCACUUCCAGUGAGAGAGGAGUUGGACAUCUCAUUAUCUCUGAUUCGUCGUGUAGUAGCAGGACACUGGUAGUGUACACAAUGCUGGCAUGUUUCGUACUACUGCUCUCUCAACUCAGCAAGAUUCACUUUUUACUUUUAUCACGCCAUUUCGCUCAAAUUCACAAAAAAUGGACUAUUCAAAGCGUAAAGCUUUAAACUUGCAGAUAUCGCGUGAGGAUUGAACAUUGCUUUGGGAUUCUAAAAGAACGCUUUGGAAGCCUCAAAGAAUUAAGAAUACGUAUUCAGGACGAAAAAAAGUCAUAUUCAAUGUUCCAACUGGUUUAUUGUUUGCUGUAUAUUGCAUAACAUCUUACGAGCUACUUCUAACGAUAUUGAAAACGUAGUUGUCGAUUGACUACAACCUUUUCGCCAGGUGGAAACGUUUAGAACGUAGUUAUGUACAUACAUAGCGGUAUUGGGUAUACCAACUACAGUUUUGUGUAACUAUUUACAUAAGAUCAUACUUACGAAACUUAAAGGAAUAAGCUAACUGUCAUAAAUAAUCAUAAAUAAAUACAAAUGUAAUUAUUAAAUUAAUUGAAAUAAUAAUUUCGUACAUAGCAACUCUUUCUUUAAUUUCUAAUUCUAUCAACUUAUAUUUUUCAUCUGUUUCUAUUUUUUUAAUUCUGUAUCUAAUUUUUGAACUCACUAUCUAAUUUUCUUUCUUGAAUUUUCUUCCCUUCUGCGAACUUAUACUUGUCAAAUUCCAGAUUCUUAGCUAUCCAACGGAAGAUUUCAGUGGCCGACUUGACCGUUGGAAUGCUAAUAUCGCGGUGGAAAUUGCUGGGAUCUAAGGUGUGGCAUUCGAUGGCGCACCAGGAACACAUUCCUCUUCUAAGAAUUCUACUUCGCAUUCUGGUGCACGACUAGCUGGACACAUGUAGCUGAAGCGAAGGCAGGUUAUUUGUAACCAACAACGGGUGAUCCAAGAAUGAUAGAAUACAAGAUUACGACACUAGUUUACCGUUAGUUUUUUUCGGUUUAGCUCUUGACAAUUCUUACAAAAACAAGUACAUUGUGCAACAAUUUCGUGACGUCACACUUGGGCGUUGAGAAGAACAAGCAUAGAAAUGCAUACAAAUUGUAAACAGAAAAGUUAACACUUUUGGAAAUUCCCAAAAUAAUAUUAAUUCAUUCGUCUUUGCAGCAAAAAUUUCAGUGGAAUGUUUAGAAUAUUGUUGCGAGAAAAGAUAUAUGUAAGUAGUUUUAGGCACAUCCACAAUAAAUAAAGUAGCAUGUGUGGAAAUUGUUCAAAUGAAGAAAACCAGUGAAAGUGUACUGUUGUAUUUAUUUAAAUUUCUAAGCAUAAAUAUUUUAAUUUUUUAAAAUGAAAUGUGCAGUGGCUUGUUGUAAUAAUUAUUAUGCAAUUAAAGGAUCGAAAACGAAUUUUUGUCAGUUUUUCGGCCGAUUUAAAAGUUGCCAAAAAAUGGGUGUUAUUUUUCAAAAGAAAUGAUAUAUUUAAUACUAAAUCCUCUUUAAUUAAUUAAUUUCACAAUUCUUUUAUCAUAAUUUCAUACAUCUGAACUUAUAAUAUAUGUAUAUAUUUAUAUACAACACAAGAAACGUCUUCUCCAUUUGAAUCACAACUUAAUAGACAAUUUUAUUAUCAAUAGGCCGAUAUAUUUCUUUAGAAAUGAUUCAAAUCUUUUCACUCAACAAUAUUCAAUCGCUUCACUAAAAGUUUUCAUUAAAAUCGAAAGAAUUAAUAAUAUUUUGCGAAUUUACAAAAGUGUUCACUUUUCUGUUUGCAAUUUGCAAGCCAUUUGACAGUUUUUCACUCUUGUUCUUCUCAACACGCAACUAUGACGUUUCAUAAUGGCGGUUGUCGUAAUCUUGUAUUCUAUCAUUCUUGGGUUGAUCGGUAACGGCUUUCCAAAUAUUUCCUUCAGAUGGUCGUAAGAGCCACUCACUCUCUUUCCAGUUCUUCUUUGGCCUUUUCCUCUUCGCUUGGGGCGCACCUUCAGUAUUCAUUCUUAUCAGAAACUAUAAAAAUUGUUUAGAAUUUAAAUAGAAAUUAUUAAAUCUAUUUCAAACUUACCCUCUUCAACAAUUUAACGGGUAAAUAUGUCUUUGUGUAAAGUGACAGCUGACACAGGGUUGCAAUUAUUUUUCAUCAUUGCACGAAAAUAAACAUGGGUUUUGUCUUACAAAUUUUACAGCCAUUGCAAAUAUUUUUCUGCGUGAUUUGUUGUUGUGUCGUUGAACCAAUUGGAAAAUUCCAAAAUUCGUGCAAUACGUGCACCGUGCAAGGAUUUUGCAAGAGAAAGAGAAUCCCCCUAUUAUAUUGAUUAGAUUAUCAUUUUCGACGCCUAACCUUAGCUUUUUUCGAUUAUCAUUAGAUGAAAAUAAAUAGAUGCUAUACAAGUAAGGAAGUAAGGAAGAGCUAAGUUCGGAUGCAUCUGAAUAUGCAAGAAUCAAAGCCAGGAAAUUACCUCAUGAUGCGAAACGUCAAUCAGAGGUUUGGAAUCCAAGCAAUUGUUUAUACAUAGCUCAUACACUUACUGAAAAAUUCGGCAUAAGGUUUAUUGGAAAACUUAAAAUCAUUAUAUGCAGUAUAUGGGAGUUGCGUAUAGUAAUGAUUCGAUUUUAUCUAUUUUUACCAAUACCACAUAAUAUUAACAUGCCACAUACUAAGAACUGUUCACUGGGUUUCAUAAACUACCUCACAUCCAAUCACCAAUCAUAUGGAGUAAAAUCAGCCGGAUGUUCGAAAACUCUGAUAAUAGGGUCAAACCACGUCAAGUGGUCCAGAGAAAUUUUGCAAAAUCACCGAUUUUGAAAACUAGCAGUUCAUUAGGAGGGGGACCACAUGCAUACCCGGUGAAAUAAAUAUUUCGUAACAAUUUAUUUUUGUUAAAGUUAGUAACUAUGAUAGAAAAAAUAAUUUUACAAUUUUAUCGUGCUCAUCCAUCUAUAACUUUAACAAAAAAAAAGUUUACGAAAUAUUUAUAUCACGAAGUAUGCGUCUGGUCCCCUUCAUAAUGAACUGUUAAUUUUCUAAUUCGGUGAUUUUGCAAAUUUUCCUGGACUUCACGUCGUUUGACCCAUUAGUUAGAUCAAGAUUUAGCUCAAUUUUAUACAUAUUUAUAAAACUUUUGUAUUUUUAACAUAUCUAUUGAAUACUUACUCAAGUCAACGCUUAACGCCAUCUGUUAGAAUAUCUUGGAGCUAACGGAUAAUUAUGACUGUCAAAUAAUAGACAAAGAAUUUGAAAUAAUAUAAUAUUGCGAUUAUAAAUUGAGAUGUAAGCUAUCCUAUCAAUAAAAAAUAAUUUGCAAUAAAAUAUUCAAUUAAAAUUAUUAGUGCUUCAUUGUUCAAUUGUUUAAUUAAAAUAUAUACAUGUAAAUGUUGUUUAAUUAAAAUAUAUACAUGUAAGUACUAUCACGGAGGAUGGAGCAACGUGCCACGCAAGUAAGGAAAGUUCUCUGAUAGCCAUUCACUUAGGGGUGGCCAGAAACGAUUAUCUAUACUAAUUAUAUAAAAUCGCUUAUAUGAAAAAUGUUUGUAACGGCUAAUCUCCUAAAGUUCUGAAGCGAUUUUUAUAAUUUUUUUUUUUAAAUAAAGCAUUUGCUCUAGGCUCGCGAGUGGUAUACUUUUUUUUUUAAUUUUCCGAAAUCAAAUCCUUUUUCUUUCGGGUUGAAGUUUUUGAAAAACCAAAAAUAUUGCAAGCAUAAGGUUUUUCGUUCACCAAACGCAGUCUACAGCGAAGCGCGCUUUGUGUGUGUGCGUGUGCCCUUUAUCGUUUGCGGCACGCACUCUCUCUCUCUUCCAUCUCUGCACAUCUUUUCCAGCAUAACGUAAUGAAGUAAAGUACAUACAUAUGUACAUAUGUAUGCACUCUCUCUUCCAUCUCUCACAUCUUUUCUACAUAACUUAUUGAAGUAAAGUACAAAGCAAAAAAGUUUGCAUAUAUAAAUGAUCGCAGAACAAGUGAAAUAACGCUAAACAGCACAAUCAAAUGCUCGCAUAAAUUGCCGUAUGUAUGCAUGUAUGUAGUUAUGUAAAUACAGUGUCAACUAUAUUUAUUCUGUUUUACAGCUACUUAUUUUGCAGCAACGCACCGUUGCUUGAAUUACUUUUCUUAUUGUCUUUGUACUUUUUUGUAACAAAGCACAUUGAAAAUAAAAACAGAACGCUCUCCGUAAGGAACAUCCAAAAACCAAUAAAAUCAAAUAUUAAGAUGUAAUGUGGUUUUCAUGUGUGUCUGCGAAAUACUUGCUGGUUUCUUCUAACUUUAUUGUAUUUAUGAUCGUAUUCUGCAAAUGGUAGAGUAAAAUUGGAAAUUUAUUGUCUUUAAAUCAAAAGCUUUCAGAGAUGCCAAAAGCAAAAUCUCAAUUAUUUAGAUCCUCAUCAAAUAGACGGCAAAUUCAGCUAAGAUGAAAUGAGACGGUCGACGAGAGUGCAAAUCGCGUAGAGAAUGUAAGGUUGCAAAUGAUGCAGAAUAGACAAGGGGCGAUUGCUUUCAAAUCAGCGUUUAACUAUAGACAGGAUUGUAAUUAUUUGGACCAUUCCCUUUUAUUCAUUGGUCGAAUGAAUGGCAUUUGCAAUUUUUGUAAGGCUAAAAAGUGGGUGAAAGAGGCACCAGGUUUGUGUUGUAGCAAGAGACAUGCAAGUGAGACAUAUAGGUGAGCCUUCGCUGACAAUCAAAGCGCUGCUUUGAGGUGAGCAUCAGUCGUCCUGUCACUUAAAAAAAAUAUAAGAAAAUGCAAUGGUUGUGACUUCGUUUGGUGGUAAUGAAAUUAGGGAGGGUAAUUUCAUGCCAACGUUUAAAAUACAUGGACAAGUUUACCACGUUAUUGGGAGUUUAUUGCCAGCGCCGAACGCAACACCAAAAUUUAAAUUGACUGCCAAUAUGCGAAUAAAUCUUUGUGGAGCUGGACCAUCCAAUCGGUUUGCAGAGUUCCUACUUAAAAUAGGUAACGGUUGCAAAUCUGUCACCAA